GAAACAAGCUUGUUAAUCUCAGCCGUCUAUUAUAUCAACAAUCGGAUCUAACCAGGUUGCCCUUCCUCUAUAUAACAACUCGUUUCCUCUUUCCCGAACUCAGCUUUCAAUUAGGGUUUACGUUUUAUCAAACAUCUGAUUAUUUCUCCGCCGUUGGAGUCUACAAGGUAAUCGUCUUCGUAUUCUUUUUAGAUUAAACUUUAUCAAAUAUGUUUCAUAGCCCUAUCUCUCCUUCUCAAUGCGAAUGAAAUGCAUCUAUUUCCAAUUUUUAUGUUUUCCUGCGAAUUCACUAAGGCUUCGCUAAUCUGGUCGGCAUGAAUUUUAUUAGUUUCUGUCUGACUCGUUCCCUUGAAGCAAAAUUAAGCGUGCUGUUUUUAGAUUUUUAUAAUUUUCAAUCGAUUUUCAUUGGAGAACACUUAAGCAGCUACAUAUGUUCAUUAAGUUAAACAAAUGAAGCAUUCAAAAUCAAUCAUUAGAAACCACUUACGAUACUUUUCGAGAUUUUCUUUUUUAUUGUAAUUUGGGGAAAAUGUGACUGUGAUGAGCCAAUACAGACCUGUAAUGACUUGCGAAAAUGAUCGCAACUUAUGAACAUCUAAGGGACUGAGUCUCGAUUCCCUCAUUUUAUUUAUGACUUCAAUUUUGGAAUUUAUUUAAGUUCUAAAUUUUUGAAAAUUCUAAUUUUCAAUAUGUAUGUUCGUGGCUUUAUAUACUGUGAAUGAGGAUUUGCUACAAUUUAGUAUUGGCAAAUUUUAUUCGGGAUCCUCGUCACCAUCCCGGGUCAACCUGAGGAUUCCCCAGUCAAAACGGGUGCGGUUAUCAGGUUCCCCAUUGGAUAUGUGGCUUUUUGCCAUCUCUAGUAAUGAAAACCCUCAAAUGAAAUCUAAUUUGCUUUAGAAGAUAGUAACUUUUAACUUGGAAACUUCUAAACCCUAUCAAAGAUAGUAACUUCUAACUUGGAAACCGCCCUAUCUUCUUUAAGUUAAUAUUAAAAUAAUAAUAAUAAUACCUUGUUUUUAGUGAAGUGUCAUUAAAUGAAUAUAUAACCAUAAAUAUGAUUUUAUAGUCUAAAAUGAAGUACAAGUACUUAAACUACAUAUUGGAAAGAUAUCGUGUUGAUCCCACUUCAACGAAUGAUUAAUGAUAUUUUAAAUAAUUUUACAGAUUAUGUUUGUUAAACUUUCCGUCCAAGACUGGUUAUUCACAUAAUAGGUGAAAAGACCAUAACCGGUAUUGUAGCUUGCUUGGAACCGAUAACCAUGCAUAUAAAGUGGUGCCUGGUCUCCUUCCGGUUGCUCAACCUAGCUAGAACUAAAAAAAAUAAGUUUUUAUUUUGGGUUAAGUAAGUUGUUUGGCUAAAAAAAACUUUUACCAUAUUUUCUAUGUUCAUUGAUAGCAAUUAUCGUUAAUGUUUAUGAGAAGCUCUAACAUGGUAUGAAGUCGGGUUUACAGAUGUUUCUCUCAUUGUGAUUGAAAGAUCUCAUCUAGAAUCCAUAACAACUCUUAAAUGAUAAUAAAGUAAGGAAAAAUGAUACCUUAAGUUAAAUGCUAAUUAUAAAAAUGGAUGAGUUUAAAGAAAUUGUAUAAACAAAUUAAUCUUGAAAACCAAAUCUUAGCUGACAAAAAGAUUAUUGUUUGGCCCAACAUAAGGGAAAAAAGUGAAUCGUAGGUAGUGCCAAUUGCACAUAAAAGCUAAAUAAAGAGUAUAAAGAAAAGUAAUUGUGUAGUUUGAGACGAAAAUAUGUUAAAUGUCUAUAGAUAAUUAUAGUCAUUUGCUUAUUUUAGCGACCGAAUUCAAAUUAAUAUUUUUAGUUUUUUUUUUUUUAUUUUUUUUUUUAUGUGUAUUUGUAAAAAAAUUAUGUUAUGUUUUCCUUCUUUCACUUAUAUUUAGAAUCGACAAAUUGCAAUAAUUAAUACGUUUUGCAACAUAGCAUAAACUGUUAUAGUGAGAUUAAUGAUAUCCAAAUCAAAAAUUGAUUGAUUUCUAUAAUUUGGUAUAGUUCUCAAAGUAUAUUGCAUUAAUAAGAAAAAUAUGACUUUUGAGAAGAAGGAUUAAAACCAAAUCUCAUGCCAAUGAAGAUCUAUACUCAAACAUAUAGAUAUCAAAGUAUCCACAUCCACUUGUAUUGGCCUUAACUCCUCAUUCCCCUACAAAAUUCCAUCAAAAUUCUAUUUGAAUAUUCUACAAAAUGAUGUAAAUACACAAAAUAACACAUUGGUGUUUAAUAUUUCAAAAUUUUCAACGCAUAAAACAAAAAUACUCACCUUACAUAUAUAACCUUUUAUCCUUUUCUUUCUUAUCCUAUCAUGAUCAAAAUUCUACAAGUAACAUAAAGAAAUAAGUUUUAGUUCACCAAGAAAUAAGUUUUUGUUUAAUUAAUCAAGCUCAUACAAACCAAAUAAUAAAAAAAAAUUAAAGGUGCAUCUUGUUUUCAUACCUAAUUUUAUUACUGAAUCCAAAUCUGGUGAAAUUGAAAAAGAACACAAAUAAAAGCUAGUUUUUUGUAGAUCUUGUUUCCAAAUCUGAUGAAAUGAAAUAAAUACAAAAGGUUAAUCUUUACAAAUCUUUGUUUCUACCCGGUUCACUGUGAAAUCCCAAAUCAUGUAACUGGCAUUCCAUUGACCAAAGUUCCAAAAUUUAGAACUACUAAAAUAAAUUACAACCAAAAUAGUUUGGAAAACCAAUAGAAAAUGUGAAAGAUAAACUAUACCAGGUCAAGAGAUGAGUAUAGCAAAGUUAGGUCAUAGUUUCUAUGAGACAUUUCGUAAAAAACUUGGAAUGCAUGUUUUGUAAGCCUAUAAAAAAAACAAUAACAUAUCUUUUUAUAUUAACCUGGGAAGAAAAUA
rnacentral:lncRNA from 1 species